rnacentral:rRNA from 1 species
GACGAACGUUGGUGGCGUGCUUAAUACAUGCAAGUCAACUGAAGCAGUGGUAGCAAUAUCGCUGUGGAGGUGGCGCACGGGUGAGUAACACGUAGGUAAUCUGCCUUCAGGUCUGGCAUAACUCCGGGAAACCGGGGCUAAUAGCAGAUGAUGCAGCGGCUCGACAUCGAGACAGUUGUUAAAGCUAUGGCGCCUGAAGAUGAGCCUGCGUCUGAUUAGCUAGUUGGCGGGGUAACGGCCCACCAAGGCAACGAUCAGUAGCUGGUCUGAGAGGAUGAUCAGCCACACUGGAACUGAGACACGGUCCAGACUCCUACGGGAGGCAGCAGUAAGGAAUAUUGCUCAAUGGGAGAAAUCCUGAAGCAGCAACGCCGCGUGAGGGACGAAGGGCUUUUGCUUGUAAACCUCUGUAGUGAGAGAAAAAAAUCCCAAUCUUUGGGACAUGAUGGUAUCUCAAAAGUAAGCCCCGGCUAACUACGUG